rnacentral:ncRNA from 1 species
GAGUGCGAGCACACCUGUUGGGACCCGAAAGAUGGUGAACUAUGCCUGAGCAGGGCGAAGCCAAAGGAAACUCUGGUGGAGGCCCGUAGCGAUACUGACGUGCAAAUCGUUCAUCUGACUUGGGUAUAGGGGCGAAAGACUAAUCAAACCAUCUAGUAGCUAGUUUCCUCCGAAGUUUCCCUCAGGAUAGCUGGAGCUCACAUGCGAGUUUUAUCGGGUAAAGAAAAUGAUUAGAGGCAUCGGGGGUGUAAUUCCCUCGACCUAUUCUCAAACCUUAAAUAGGUAAGACGGUGCGGCUGCUCCAUUGAGCCGUGCCGAUUGGGCUACGGACGUAGAAUGUCCUCUCGUGGGGGAUUUUCCCUAGGCGGUGAACAGUCGACUCAGAACUGGUACGGACAAGGGGAAUCCGACUGUUUAAUUAAAACAAAGCAUUGCGAUGGUCCCUGUGGAUGCUGACGCAAUGUGAUUUCUACCCAGUGCUCUGAAUGUCAAAGUGAAGAAAUUCAACCAAGCGUGGGUAAACGGCGGGAGUAACUAUGACUCUCUUAAGGUAGCCAAAUGCCUCGUCAUCUAAUUAGUG